rnacentral:rRNA from 1 species
UACGUAGGGUCCGAGCGUUGUCCGGAAUUAUUGGGCGUAAAGAGCUCGUAGGCGGUUUGUCGCGUCUGCCGUGAAAGUCCGGGGCUCAACUCCGGAUCUGCGGUCGAUACUGCCGGACUAGAGUUCGGAAGAGGCGAGUGGAAUUCCCGGUGUAGCGGUGAAAUGCGCAGAUAUCGGGAGGAACACCAAUUGCGAAGGCAGCUUACUACCCGAACUAUUGACACUGAGCACGAAAGCGUGGGGAUCAAGCAGGAGUUAGAAAACCCGGAU